GUCCACGCCGUAAACGAUGCAUGCUAGGUGUUGGGGCCUUGAGCCUCAGUACCACAGCCAACGCGUUAAGCAUGCAGCCUGGGGAGUACGGUCGCAAGAUUAAAACUCAAAGGAAUUGACGGGGACCCGCACAAGCGGUGGAGCAUGUGGUUUAAUUCGACGCAACGCGAAGAACCUUACCAAGGCUUGACAUAUACAGGAAUAUGGCAGAGAUGUCAUAGCCGCAAGGUCUGUAUACAGGUGGUGCAUGGUUGUCGU
rnacentral:rRNA from 1 species